ACAGCACCUGCAGAAGCACAAGUGGAACUCACACAUUUUGCUUCCCGUGUUCUAAAAUGGAUUCUGAGCCAUCCAGAGAAAUCCGCACAGAGGGGAACCUGAGAACAGAGGUGUACAUAUUAAAAAUUACACAGGUGAGCUCCUUUUCACUGAUGAUCCAGAGAGGAUGUGAGUUAAAAUCUUAGAACCGAAAGCACCGAACAGCUCCUACUUCUGCCUGAUUCUCUUGAAAGACCUUGUAGCAUAAUCUAAGGUCAGCAAAUGAAGUUUCUGGCUACCAACAUAAAAGAACUUUAAGAAUCAGUUCCCUGUAGGGAAAAAUAACAUCUCAAAAUAAAAGGAUGGAAAUAGCACACAUUUUUUUAAGCAGAAAAUAUUAUACAGAGGAUCAAGAAUAUACUGAAGAAAAAUAAGAUCAAAGCAUUGGACAUAAAAAACAACCUCCAGAAUGACAAUGAUAUUAAAUCAGCUAACAGAAAUGUCACCUCUCACAAAUUCACAAAAUUCAUUUACUGAUUUGAAGAAAAGGAUUUCCAAGAAAAACUAUUUAAAUCUCCUUCCUUUAGAUCAAAAGAUUACUGGAAAGCAACAUGAAUAUCCGGAAAAAAAAAAAUCCAGUGGUCUCUGUGUGGGUCUCUGACAGCAAUUUUUUAAAGAUUUCUGAGAUUGUUUCAAUGUAAUUGUGCAUAUAUUAGCAUUUUGAAAAGGUUCUCCAUAAAACCUUGGAUUAUACAGAAUUGUGUCAUCAUUUGCAGACUAAUAAAUUAUGUACACAUAAGAGACA
rnacentral:lncRNA from 1 species